AUAAGCACCUCUCUUAAGGUUAGUGUGUGCUGAAGGGACGCAGUUUAGUGAUUCCUGGCCCAUGCUGCUGUUCCAUGGCCUACCGUUUUCCAGAUAAGUAGGUCCAUACUUCAUCCUCCUCCCUGUCUGCCCCGUGACCAUUCUUCAUACCAUACCUUCUACCCCGACCUCGGUCUCCAAGAGGAUGUCAACACCCCACCACUCAGCACCACCAGGCUUCCUCAAUCUCUGUGGCUUUAAGUCAUUUCAUGGUUAGGUACAUCUUCUCUCACUGAGGCCCAAUGAUGCAUUCCUCUGCUGUUGGGAGCCUCAUAACAGCUGCCUGGUUGGUUGUAUGCUGCCUGCUUGGUGGCUCAGUGUCUUGAGAGAUCUCAGGGUCCAGGUCAGUUGAGACUGCUGGUCUUUCCCUGGGGCCACCCUUCUCCUCAGAUUUUUCCAGCUUUCCCAAAUUCAACCAUGGCAGUCCCAGACUUCUGUCUAUUUGCUGAGUGCUAUUAUUUGCCUCUGAUUCUUUCAGCUGCUUGCUGGGCUACUCAGAGGGCAACCAUGCUAGGAUCCUGUCUGCAAGCAUAUCACAGUACCAUUAACAAUGUCAGGACCCUGGACCCCCGUGAGAUGGAUCCCAAUUUGGGCCUGUCACUAGAUGUCCUUUAUCUCCUGCUCUUCUCCAUUUUGUCCCUGCAGUUUCAUCAGACAGGAACAAUUCUGGGUAAGAGCUUUUGACUGUGGGAUCAAAACCUCAUCUCUCCACUUAUCAUGUUCCUCCACUGGAAGUGGACUCUACAAGUUCCUACUCCCCACUCUAGAGCACUUUAUCCAAGAUCCCUCCCUUUGAAUCCUUAGAGUCUUUCAACUUCCCUGUCACCAGUACAUUCUAGAGUGUCCCCCUACCUCCAGAGUUAGCUGUUUCCAUCCUCUCUGUUGACCCUCAGGGCUUCAGUCCUGUUCCCCAAACCCAAUACCUGAUCAUGUUCCCUAGUCCCCCUUCCUGUCCCCACUCCCACCCAGGCCCCUCCUUCCCUCUGUUCCUCCCCCACCUUGGUUACUUUCUUUUCCCUCCCAAGUUGGAUUGAGGCAUCCAGAUAUGUGCCCUUCAGCUACUUUUCCCACUUGCAAAAGAGCUUCACUCUUUAAUGUGGAACAGGGUGUUGGGGCACAAAGGUCCUUGCAGCCACAGAUCACCAAGGAUACUAGGAAUUUUAAAUAUACAGAGGCCUGCAUUCAAUGAAGGAAAAAAAAAUACCUACAUUCAACCUAAAUAGCUGGAAGUGCAUUUUCGUACUGAUCCAGUGACCUUUUGGCUCUUUGUGUAGGCAGAUCUCAUAUAAUGUUUGCUAUAGAGGCAGACCUUACUCAAAUUCUCCAAAAUGACUGUCUUUAACUCUUUCCUUCCUAGAUGGUUACCAAUCAUUAGAUGCCAGGUCUUCUACCUACAGAAGCCCUCCUCACAGUUACAUGUACUUUGUAAAAGGGUUUCUAUGUAGUCACAUAUUAAACUUUAUUGUGAACUUGGAA